rnacentral:rRNA from 1 species
UACGGAGGGGGCUAGCGUUGUUCGGAAUUACUGGGCGUAAAGCGCACGUAGGCGGCUUUGUAAGUUAGAGGUGAAAGCCCGGGGCUCAACUCCGGAAUUGCCUUUAAGACUGCAUCGCUAGAAUUGUGGAGAGGUAAGUGGAAUUCCGAGUGUAGAGGUGAAAUUCGUAGAUAUUCGGAAGAACACCAGUGGCGAAGGCGACUACCUGGCCUGUUCUUGACGCUGAGGCGCGAAAGCUGGGGGAGCAAACGGG